ACCUCUGGGAAAAUGAGACUCCUCUUAGUGCUUAAAUUAGAAUGCAAUGCUUUUUAUAGCUCAAAAUCACCCAUAAAAAUUUUCUUUUCUUAGCUACAAACUUCGAAAUUAAAAAGUAAAAGGGAAUUGACAAUGCAUGAUAAGCACUUCUCUCAGAACCCAACUCCACAAUCCAUCAAACAGCUUAGCAGAAAGCAAUCAAACAAAAAAAUGGCCUGUCAUAAACAGCAUCUACUUUCUAAGAAUGCAAGUGGAGUUCAUCAUUAAAUAAAAGUCUCAGGAAAAUCCUCUCCCUGGGGCCUAAUGCUCUCCAGUAACACCCAGUAAUGAGUCUUCUCCUGGAAACAGAUGGAAUUCAUUGACUGUGCCUAUGGUUCUCACACCAAAUGUGCUAAAUUUCUGAGACCCUUCCAAACAAUUUGCUACACAACCUUCACGUGAGUAGUAGAAGAAUAUGUCAUCUCUAUAGGUCUCCUGUUGAAAAUCAAUUUUGCUU
rnacentral:lncRNA from 10 species